rnacentral:rRNA from 1 species
GACGAACGCUGGCGGCGUGCCUAAUACAUGCAAGUUGAGCGAAGAAGUUUGGUGCUUGCACCAAUUUGAAGAGCAGCGGACGGGUGAGUAACGCGUGGGUAAUCUGCCUUUGAGCGGGGGACAACAUUUGGAAACGAAUGCUAAUACCGCAUAACAACUUUAAACAUAAGUUUUAAGUUUGAAAGAUGCAAUUGCAUCACUCAAAGAUGAUCCCGCGUUGUAUUAGCUAGUUGGGGAGGUAAAGGCUCACCAAGGCGAUGAUACAUAGCCGACCUGGGAGGGUGAUCGGCCACAUUGGGACCUGAACCCGGCCCAAGCUCCUACGGGAGGCAGCAGUAGGGAAUCCUCGGCAAUGGAGGAAAGGCUGACCGGGCAACGGCGCGGGGGGGAAGAAGGUUUUCGGAUCGUAAAACUCUGUUGGUAGAGAAGAACGUUAGGGAGAGUGGAAAGCGCAUGAAUUGACGGUAACUACCCAGAAAGCGACGGCUAACUACGUG